UUUUUUCAUGAUCUUCGUGGUAGACACCGUAUUGAUGACUCUGGAGCGUGCUUACAACUUCUACGUAUAUCUCACGUCCAAGGACUUGGACGACGCCGGCAGCUCCCGGAGGAUUCAAAUCAGACUAUGCGUACCCCAAGCCAGCCACCAGCAGAGGUCAACUAGCGGAGCCGCCGCAAGACGCCGAGAGGACGAUCAGAACAUCGGAGGCGGAGAAUCGACGCAAGAAAAAGUUCUGUAAUUAUAAUAAAGGCAUACGAUAAAUAC
rnacentral:lncRNA from 1 species